CAACCCUCAGGCCUUAGCUAGCCUGGCGUUGGGGCAUCUGUAGUUGACUACAGGCCCUAAAAGUUAGUGGCGGUGUCCGCUAGCACUCCGGGCGCAGUAAAUUUCUUUCUCGCCUUGGAUGUCUUGCAGUUUACCAGCCGUAAAAUAUAUAUAUAUAUAUUCAAAAUAUAAAA
rnacentral:misc_RNA from 1 species